UACGGGGGGGGCAAGCGUUGUUCGGAAUUACUGGGCGUAAAGGGCUCGUAGGCGGCCAACUAAGUCUGACGUGAAAUCCCUCGGCUUAACCGGGGAACUGCGUCUGAUACUGGAUGGCUUGAGAUUGGGAGAGGGAUGCGGAAUUCCAGGUGUAGCGGUGAAAUGCGUAGAUAUCUGGAGGAACACCCGUGGCGAAGGCGGCAUCCUGGACCAACACUGACGCUGAGGAGCGAAAGCCAGGGGAGCAAACGGG
rnacentral:rRNA from 1 species